GGAGGGAGGGGAGGGGGAGAGUUGGGAUUCACUCUCACUCACUCUCUCCUUCUCUUUUCUUAAAGGGGCCGCGCGGGACGACGGGGUGGGUGCGCAGGCCCAGAUGGGGACUUCGAGGGCGCGGGCUAGGGAAGAGGGAGCAGCGGCGGCCUCGGCGAACUGCUGGAGGGGGCAGAGGGGGCGGUUUAUUUUUAAAUUCUGCCUCCACUCGCUCUCUCGCGCUCUGGUUCCUCCGAGUUGUUUAUUCCAUUUUCCUCUUCCUGAGACGGCCGUUGCCGUUGCGCGUGCGCGCCACGGCGCGGUGGCUUGUGGGUAGCUGGAGCGCUAGGGGAUGCCUGGCGGGGCGCCGGGCCCCCGGGGGCAUCCGCGCUCUGGCUGCGGUGGGACUGGCCGUCGUGGCUGGCUUUCCCGGACGCCGAGCGGACCUGAAAUUCUCCCGAGACCGGAUAUUUUGCUGUUUUGUGUAUUCGCCUACUGAUCUAGCCAGAUUUUCAGAAAAUUUAAAUGAGAGGUGA
rnacentral:lncRNA from 1 species